UCAUGCUGGGAUCCCCAAAAUAGAGGCACUAUUCCUUUUGUCUGUACUGGGAAGUGCUUCGAUUUUGGGGAGCCCUGUGUGA
rnacentral:pre_miRNA from 1 species